UCAGCAGCUACAUCAUUGCCGUUUCCUGUAUUUUGUCAUUUGGUCACUGGAGUGACUGGAGCAUGGAGACAACUGGGACAACACUGGAAAGUGCACCCUCUAGACCGCCAGAUAUCUGUUAUCAUAUGGAGACGGUGAACAAACAAGGACCUCAUCACCUUAUGCUUAUGUGGAAGGCCCUUGAUGUUUAUGAUGCUCACGGACAUAUUCUUGGGUACCAAGUGAGCUACACACAAACAAAGCACCCCUUUCUGAGUGUGACCACUAACACCACAGAUCUGAAGGUGGUCCUUGUGGUGACCGAGGAUGAGUUGGAGGUCACAGUUAUGGCAUACAACAGCGCUGGUGGAUCUCCUUACUCUCAUCUAAAGAUUGACCUGAGUCUUCAUCAGAGUGAGUUAAAUGUCUAUUUCCAUGAAUAGAUAGUGAUUACAGAGGUGUUUGACUUUUUUAUUUUAAGGGGUGAUAAUCUCAACACCCAGAUCCAAAUCUCUGCGCUAGUCGAAUAACCGCUUGUCACGAGGCUAAAUGCGUGGUAAAUGGUAAUGUAAUGUACUUCUG